AUGCCUCAGUAGCGGCGAGUGAAGCGGCAAGAGCUCAGAUUUGAAAUCGUGCUUUGCGGCACGAGUUGUAGAUUGCAGGUUGGAGUCUGUGUGGAAGGCGGUGUCCAAGUCCCUUGGAACAGGGCGCCCAGGAGGGUGAGAGCCCCGUGGGAUGCCGGCGGAAGCAGUGAGGCCCUUCUGACGAGUCGAGUUGUUUGGGAAUGCAGCUCCAAGCGGGUGGUAAAUUCCAUCUAAGGCUAAAUACUGGCGAGAGACCGAUAGCGAACAAGUACUGUGAAGGAAAGAUGAAAAGCACUUUGAAAAGAGAGUGAAACAGCACGUGAAAUUGUUGAAAGGGAAGGGUAUUGCGCCCGACAUGGGGAUUGCGCACCGCUGCCUCUCGUGGGCGGCGCUCUGGGCUUUCCCUGGGCCAGCAUCGGUUCUUGCUGCAGGAGAAGGGGUUCUGGAACGUGGCUCUUCGGAGUGUUAUA
rnacentral:rRNA from 1 species